rnacentral:rRNA from 1 species
CGCUGUUACUUUAAAGAAAUUAGAGUGCUCAAAGCAAUCCUACGCUCUGUAUAUAUUAGCAUGGGAUAACAUUAUAGGAUUUCGGUCCUAUUACGUUGGCCUUCGGGGUCAGAGUAAUAAUUAACAGGGACAGUUGGGGGCAUUCGUAUUUCAUAAUCAGAGGUGAAAUUCUUGGAUUAAUGAAAGAUGAACAACUGCGAAAGCAUUUGCCAAAGAUGUUUUCAUUAAUCAAGAAUUAAGGUUGAGGGCUCGUAGACGAUCAGAUACCGUCCUAGUCUCAACCAUAAACGAUGCCGACCAUGGAUCGGCGGAUGUUGCUUUUAGGACUCCGCCGGCACCUUAUGAGAAAUCAAAGUUUUUGGGUUCCGGGGGGAGUAUGGUCGCAAGGCUGAAACUUAAAGGAAUUGACGGAAGGGCACCACCAGGAGUGGAGCCUGCGGCUUAAUUUGACAUAACACGGGGAAACUUACCAGGUCCAGACAUAGUAAGGAUUGAUAGACUGAGAGAUCUUUCUUGAUUAUAUGGGUGGUGGUACAUGGCCAUUCUUAGUUGGUGGAGCGAUUUGUAGGGUUAAUUCCGUUAACGAAAGAGACCUCAGCCUGCUAACUAGCUAUGCGGAGGUAUCCCUUCGCGGUCAGCUUUUUAGAGGGACUACAGCCUUUUAACCCGCGGAAGUUUAAGGCAAUAACAGGUCUGUGAUGCCCUUAGAUGUUCUGGGUCGUACGCGCGCUACACUGAUGUAUUCAACGAGUUUAUAGCCUUGGCUGAUAGGCCCGGGUAAUCUUUGAAAUUUCAUCGUGAUAGGGAUAGAUCAUUGCAAUUGUUGAUCUUCAAAGAGGAAUUCCUAGUAAGCGUGAGUCAUCAGCUCAUGUUGACUACGUCUCUACCCUUUGUACACAUCGCUCGUCGCUCUUACCGAUUAAAUAAUCCAGUGAAAUAUUCAUAUCGUGGCGACGUGGGCCGUUCACUGCCCGCAACAUCGAGAGAAGUCCAUUGAACCUUAUCAUUUAGAAGAAGGAGAAGUCGUAACAAAGUUUCCGUAGAAGAACCUGUGGAAG